AUAAUGGGUCAGCGACUUAUAUUCUGUAGCAAGGUUAACCGAAUAGGGGAGCCGAAGGGAAACCGAGUCUUAACUGGGCGUUAAGUUGCAGGGUAUAGACCCGAAACCCGGUGAUCUAGCCAUGGGCAGGUUGAAGGUUGGGUAACACUAACUGGAGGACCGAACCGACUAAUGUUGAAAAAUUAGCGGAUGACUUGUGGCUGGGGGUGAAAGGCCAAUCAAACCGGGAGAUAGCUGGUUCUCCCCGAAAGCUAUUUAGGUAGCGCCUCGUGAAUUCAUCUCCGGGGGUAGAGCACUGUUUCGGCAAGGGGGUCAUCCCGACUUACCAACCCGAUGCAAACUACGAAUACCGGAGAAUGUUAUCACGGGAGACACACGGCGGGUGCUAACGUCCGUCGUGAAGAGGGAAACAACCCAGACCGCCAGCUAAGGUCCCAAAGUCAUGGUUAAGUGGGAAACGAUGUGGGAAGGCCCAGACAGCCAGGAUGUUGGCUUAGAAGCAGCCAUCAUUUAAAGAAAGCGUAAUAGCUCACUGGUCGAGUCGGCCUGCGCGGAAGAUGUAACGGGGCUAAACCAUGCAC
rnacentral:rRNA from 1 species